GCCAGGGAGGGGCACUGGGACAGAGCGGGGUGUGGCCUGGGUGGGGAGGAGCGGCGCGGGUGUGUCUGGGAGAGAGGAGGCUGGGCCCCAGUGAGGCUCGGGGAGGGAAGGGGCACGUGAGCCCGCCCCGCGCCUUCCCCCUCUGAGGCCUCUGCAGAUCGGGACCCGGGCAGCUCUCCUCCGACCCCACCCCUCACCUUCCCGGUAACCAGGUCUCCGCCCACAUUCUCUGACCACAGCCCUUCCCAGUAGCAUUUCAAGGUGCCUAAGUCCCCCUCCAGUCUCGGAGAAAGUAAGUCAGCGUCGGCAGAGAAGAGCCUGGGUGUCCAAGCCAGGUGCAGAGCUCCAGGUGUGCGUCUGGACACGACAUGCCACGACGGUCUUAACUCUGUGGUUCCCAAGGAAGACAGGAGCCAGGUCCACUUUGCAGCCUAGACCUGAUGUUGGACGUGCAUGGUCCCGCUUGGCUCUGAGCAUGUCAAAACACUGCUCCUUUUAAAUUCCACCCCAACCCCACCUUCCACACAAUCCGAGGAAGUGCCCUCUUUCCCUAUCAGGGGUUGCUGCCUUUCCAAGCUCUUCCUGCCCACCCGUCCCUACCCUCCCUGCCAAGCAGAUGCUUUCUGGCCAUUUUUUCCACCUGGAACAGGGAGAAGCGCGCCCCCUCCUGGCCUCCCAGCUGAGGGCCGCACCUGGCUGCUGCCAUCUCCAAGGCCCUGGCCCCGCAGGAGGAGCCUGUGAGCGCCCAGGCUGCUGCGCCAGGAGAAGCCGUUCUAAGAGAGCCAAGUGCCCCAGAGCCUAGCCAAGCCCACCCUCCUGUGGGUCAAUGACAGUGCCUAACCCAGCUCUCAGCUCAUUCGGGUUCGGUUCCUGUCGCCUGCAGCCAGGAGCCAAGGGACCAGAUCCAGCCCCCUGUACUUCUCGGGCACACGUAUGUGCUGGCUCCCGGUCAGAAAAGCUUUUCAUGGGAUCAGUGCUGUUUUAAUCCCGAUAGCCAGGGCACCCCAUCUGCCCCCCAUGCCUGCUCCCGGGAGGGCCGCUGCCGCCCCCUGCCUCAAAACGGCUCAGUAACCUCCGAGGCCAGGGCUGCUCUUUAUCAUCGUGAGCCUGCAAUUCUAAGCGACACCAAGGAUGUAAUGCCCCCUGAAAAAGCAGUCUAUCAGCCUAGGCAUUAAACCUAGGGGUUGCAGAUUUUUCUGGGGAAGGCCAGAUCGUAAAUAUUUCAUAUUUUUCUCUCCAUAAGGUCUCUGUUACAGCUACUCAACUCUGCUGUCCUAGAACAAAAGCAGCACAGACAAUAUAUAAACAGUUGAACCUGGUUGCCUUCCCCAAUGACUUUAUUGAUGGACACUCUUUUGAAUUUCACAUAAUUUUCACGUCAGGAAAUACUCUUCUUGUGAUUUUUACCCUCCAACCAUUAAAAAUGUGAAAAAUUA